AAGGUCGCGUCUCUCCUGCCUCUGCAACCUUCCGCCGACCAUAUAAGGAGAGGCAGCUGCCGGGGCGUCACUCACCAGGAUCUAAAGAUAGUGACCCCGGACUCGACUCCCAACGCCACUGGGCUGCGGGGGCCGCCAUGGCACGGCAGCAUGCCCGGACCCUGUGGUAUGACAGGCCCAAGUACGUGUUCAUGGAGUUUUGUGUUGAGGACAGCACCGAUGUCCACGUGCUCUUAGAAGACCACCGCAUUGUGUUCAGCUGCAAGAAUGGGGAUGGAGUGGAGUUGUACAAUGAGAUUGAGUUCUACGCCAAGGUGAACUCCAAGGACUCCCAGGAUAAGCGCUCUGACCGCUCCAUUAGGUGCUUUGUGAGGAAAUGGAAGGAGAAAGUGGCCUGGCCUCGGCUCACCAAGGAGGAUAUCAAGCCAGUGUGGUUGUCUGUGGACUUUGAUAACUGGAGAGACUGGGAAGGGGAUGAAGAGGUGGAGCUGGCUCAGGUGGAACAUUACGCAGAGCUUUUGCAGAAGGUCAGCACUAAGAGACCUCCGCCUGCCAUGGACGACCUGGAUGAUGAUUCUGACAGUGCCGAUGCAACAAGUAGUUAACUUCUGCACGAUAGACCUGUGGAGGAAGCUGUGGCUGUCUUCCAGUCCUUCUGACAAGCUAGGGCCUGGGCCUUUGUCCAGCUGUUUGGCUGAGCACCAAGGUCCUCUGGGAUCUCAGAUCUUUCCUCGAAGCUCUUAAUUAAGUGUCUUCCUCCAUGCUUUAUUUCUUUUCCCUAUGCAUUUGACUAUGGCUGCUACAUCAGAUGGCAGAAUAGCAGAGGAGUAGACUGGUGGGACUGCUGACUUCCUGCCAACUAGCCAUAUUCUCUAUGUUUGGGCUGCCCAUCAGGGCUCUCGAAGACGCGUCCGCACUGAGGAUUGUCCCGCGCGGGCCUCCGUCCGCCCCAGGCGCUCCAGCGCGCGGGUCCCGCAUCCCGGGGACGGCGGC